GAGGCAGCAGUGGGGAAUUUUCCGCAAUGGGCGAAAGCCUGACGGAGCAAGACCGCGUGGGGGAAGAAGGCUCUUGGGUUGUAAACCCCUUUUCUCUGGGAAGAAAGUUGUGAAAGCAACCUGACGGUACCAGAGGAAUCAGCAUCGGCUAACUCCGUGCCAGCAGCCGCGGUAAGACGGAGGAUGCAAGCGUUAUCCGGAAUGAUUGGGCGUAAAGCGUCCGCAGGUGGCAGUUCAAGUCUGCUGUCAAAGACCGGGGCUUAACUUCGGAAAGGCAGUGGAAACUGAACAGCUAGAGUAUGGUAGGGGCAGAGGGAAUUCCUGGUGUAGCGGUGAAAUGCGUAGAGAUCAGGAAGAACAUCGGUGGCGAAGGCGCUCUGCUGGACCAUAACUGACACUCAGGGACGAAAGCUAGGGGAGCGAAUGGGAUUAGAUACCCCAGUAGUCCUAGCCGUAAACGAUGGAUACUAGGUGUUGUCUGUAUCGACCCGGACAGUGCCGUAGCUAACGCGUUAAGUAUCCCGCCUGGGAGUACGCCGC
rnacentral:rRNA from 1 species